CAGCCCGCGAACGAAGAUGAAGAAGGCCUUCGUCUUGUAAAGCACUUUCAGCGAGGAAGAACGCCUAGUGGUUAAUACCCAUUAGGAAAGACAUCACUCGCAGAAGAAGCACCGGCUAACUCCGUGCCAGCAGCCGCGGUAAUACGGAGGGUGCGAGCGUUAAUCGGAAUUACUGGGCGUAAAGCGCGCGUAGGUGGCUUGAUAAGCCGGUUGUGAAAGCCCCGGGCUCAACCUGGGAACGGCAUCCGGAACUGUCAAGCUAGAGUGCAGGAGAGGAAGGUAGAAUUCCCGGUGUAGCGGUGAAAUGCGUAGAGAUCGGGAGGAAUACCAGUGGCGAAGGCGGCCUUCUGGACUGACACUGACACUGAGGUGCGAAAGCGUGGGUAGCAAACAGGAUUAGAUACCCUGGUAGUCCACGCCGUAAACGAUGUCGACCAGCCGUUGGGUGCCUAGCGCACUUUGUGGCGAAGUUAACGCGAUAAGUCGACCGCC
rnacentral:rRNA from 1 species